UGCGCGCCGGAGAUUUCGAAAAUUUAAUAGUAAAUAUAUAGAAAGCAUCAAAAUUGCGCGCCGGAGAUAUCCGCCGCGCGAUACAAACUUUCCACACUGGAAUAUGAGAUCUAUACAUCUUGGUAGCCAAGUUGGUUGAAGGAUAGCCCAAAGACAUUUCAGUUAAUGGUAUGGUGGACAUAUCUGAAGAUGUUGUCCCCAAACCCAUAAUUCCCACAAGAAUGACCAGAUCAUCUGGUACCAACAUUUUAUCCUUCCACCCACAGAAAGCAGGACUUUGUCUAGCACUUUCCAAAGCUUGUAUUUCUCAUGUGUAACAAACUGUCUUCCAGCAGACUUAAGAGAACCUAACACAUUCUUAAAGUACAAAUACAUUUAAGAGAUUGUUAGGAGACUAUUACUCGAAAGCCCUGCAUUGAUGCAGAGGAUGCAAGAACAUGGAAAUCUGUGUUUAAACUAUAAAGGUUGUCGAAGUUUGAACUAUGUUAUUAACUGCUGUUUCUAGACGUUUGUUGUUAAAAGGCCCACAGUAAUUGGUUUUAACUGUUGUGGUGCUUUCACAGCAAUUGUCAUUAGUAUACAGUAGUAUUAUAUAUUUAUAAUGUAAUGUAUGUAUUGUAUCCAUGUUGUUAUUAAUAUUCAGGGUCGAUUUACUGGGGGGGGGUGCACCCCCUAGCCCUGGCCAGAGGGGGUGCACCCCCCUAGCCCUGGCCAGAGGGGGUGCAGGGGGUUCUGCUAUAUUUCAUGAUAAAACAAAAAAUUAUUAGAGACAAAAUGAGAUACAGUAAUUUCAGUAAUAACAUGAUGAUAAGCGAACUGUGAACAAUUACAAUUCAAAUACAGUAGUCAAGCAAGACUUUGCAGUAGCGAAGCAAGUUGAUGGGUGGGCAGCACACAUCACCGACACAACUCGGCACCAGAGCUGGCAGAGCACCCCACCACCAGAUCAUGCUGGAUCCACCCCUAG